UUACUCGCGUUUAUAUGCGCCUGCGCCUUCCUUUUACGAUCUAAGUACUUCUCUAGGCUUGGCCUCUAGUGUACUAAAAUGAUAGAUUUUCUUGAGCAAAUAGCUGCCAAGUUAUAUAAAAUAAUACAAUCUGGCUCUAUCUUUACUUACACGCGAAUUAAAUUAACGAUGGAAAAGUAAUAAGUAAAAUUUCAGUUUUUAUUAGAAUUACACGUUCAACAAAGCGAUAAGUUUUUUAAUUCCUUGAUAAGAUUUAAUAAUAAUGUUCUCCAGGACAUGGAUUGCAUGGAAGAUGUUGCUGCUGUGUUUCCGUACAUGUUUAUGCGCCAGCUACGAUGACAAUACAGGCAUUGAGUAUAAACAGAACCCUGCGCCGGAUGGACACAGAUGCGGAAUCUGUCCUACAUAUUUUCAAAAGAUUUGUGCCUUUAACUUCGAUGCAAAUACCACAUAU